rnacentral:rRNA from 1 species
UACGUAGGGUGCGAGCGUUGUCCGGAAUUCUUGGGCGUAAAGAGCUCGUAGGCGGUGUGUCACGUCGGCCGUGAAAACCUGCAGCUUAACUGUGGGCGUGCGGUCGAUACGGGCAUCACUGGAGUUCGGCAGGGGAGACUGGAAUUCCUGGUGUAGCGGUGAAAUGCGCAGAUAUCAGGAGGAACACCGGUGGCGAAGGCGGGUCUCUGGGCCGAUACUGACGCUGAGGAGCGAAAGCGUGGGGAGCAAACAGG